UCCGUAGGCGGGAAUCUAAGUCAGUGGUGAAAUCUUACAGCUCAACUGUAAAAUUGCCAUUGAUACCGGAUUUCUUGAAUUAAUGUGAAGUGGUUAGAAUGUGUAGUGUAGCGGUGAAAUGCAUAGAUAUUACACAGAAUACCAAUUGCGAAGGCAGAUCACUAACAUUAUAUUGACGCUGAGGGACGAAAGCGUGGGGAGCGAACAGGAUUAGAUACCCUGGUAGUCC
rnacentral:rRNA from 1 species